AUAUCUCCUCCAUUUCGUAGACAUUUAAUUUGUUUUCCUUUUUGCGUGUUUUACGGGCAGCCAUUGCUCCUUCGUUCUGGAAAGAUGGAAAGCGAUCGGAUAUGGGACGAUGACGGAAAUCAGCAUCAGAAAUACUUGUGUGAGUCACCCACUCUUCUUGACCUCCACUGCAAGAUUGACGAAUGACGGAAAUCGAAAAAUGAAAACAUUUCCUCAAGCCGAAAACAAUUCACAGGCAGUCCAAGUUCGAGACGAAGUCCUGUGGUCACAGAGGAGGUGAUGGCAAAUUGUGGGGAAACUCGGACUCUGAUAGGCAAAUGAUGCACAUCACGAGCGGCUUUGAUUGAUGAUAUACUCCCCCAUGAAAGGAGAUUUUAAAUGGACCGGAAACUGGCAUGCUAAUGGGAAGCGUGAGCACAAUGCUUUUGAUGGCUAACGCAAAAAAAAAGGAAACGAAUAAUGUUUUCGAGUUCUUACUUAUUUCCAAUGCAACAAAAGGAACUAUCAGAGCCCGAGUUUUCGUAUUUUAUUGAAUAUAAAUUGUUACGUUCCCCAUCUAAUUUAGAAAAUCGGUUGAUGCGUUUCAAAAGCAAAAGCAAUUCCACUUCAAAUGAGGCCAAAGUACAGGCACUUCGUAAGGACUUGACGGCUUUUCACAGCUGACUGACGGCGAAAUUGGAUCAGAGGAGGCAGGGGGCUUCUAGAAAUCCGAUAUAUUUAAUGAAAUAUUCAUACACAUGUGGCAAGUGUUCUCCUCUUUUCCACUCCCCCUUCCCCUUCCCCAUUCCCAUUCCCCUUUUCAACUUUCAUUGUUGUGCCAAAUACAAAAGGAUUGAGAGCCAACACUCAUGCACUUGCACACCCAUACACGACUAUGCACUUACACUUACGCAAAUGGCAGUUAUGAGGGGGAGGGGGUGGGUGGCUGGCAUAAUAAGAAUAACGAGAACAACGAGCGACAGCAACUUGAAGCUGCUUGAAGUCAACCAACACACGCACUCGAGGAAAUUGCUCGCCCGCACUCACACUUGCAAGCAUCUACAGCUUCGGUUAACCAAAUAGUGGUGGGCUUUUAAAAAAGUG